rnacentral:lncRNA from 1 species
UGCAAGCUCUGGGAGCUUCAGCUCCUUCCCCAGGCCAGGUCACUGCCUGCACCAUCUUCCCCCUAGGUCCAGGGGGCCGGUACUGACCCUUCAGGGUUGGGACACACUCACUGGCUUCUGAGCAUCGCCAGGCCCUGGUCAUGGAAUGAGAAUGAGACUCCGGCACCAAUCUGCCACGUAGCCGACUCUGAAUCGUGCUGGAACUGACAGGAAGGUUCCGGGUGGUGACAUCGGCUCAGCAGUGAGGGGUGGAGCCUGAACUGGGUCCCUUGCCCUGGGUGCAAGGGGCAUUCCGCUGCCCAGGCUUCCCAGAGGCGCCCCACACACCAGAUGGCACUUCACACUUGAUUUUAUUCCCUGACACUGAUUUGCAGAAAAGGCCCCAUUCCCUGGGCUGGAGAAGGCAGUGGGGCCCGGGCAGAAGGGGAACCGGUCUCAUUGCUGGCCAGGUCUCAGCCUUCCUUCCAGCUCCAUCCUCUCCCCUGCAGUUUGUUUAAAAACUGAGCUGCAAACACUAAAUAAAAUGCAAAAGUAAAACCAAA